CAGAAAAGGAAAGGGGGCUGGCCUAAAGGCAAGAAGAGAAACCCCCCGAGGGACCUUGCUGUUCCGUGUUCCUACGACAGGGUACAUGAUAUUCCUGAAUGAGCAGAGAAGUCAGCUGAGGGCCACACACCCCGAUCUGCCUUUCACAGAAAUCAUGAAGAUGCUGGCUGUUCAGUGGGCCCAGCUGUCUCAGGAUAAAAAGGGGGAGAUGAACUCAAUGACCUCUACUGCGGGACCUCCAGGCAGCUCUUCAGCUCCCUGUGCAACAAGAAGGAACCUGCUGCAAAGGCAGCACCUGCAGCGCCUCUCAGGUAACCAGCCUGGGCCAGGCGGCUCAGCCGCAAACGCUGGCCUUGACUCCACCUGCGCCAGAGGUCACCAACAGGCGGCCCACGUGACACCUCUUGUUAUUAAAAUGCAAUUUUAAGACAGACUCUAGUCAAGCCCACUUACCACCAGGUGGGUGUUUAGGACAGGGUAGGUCUUCCACUAUAUCUGUUUUCCUCUUAGUUCGCCAGGCCCGCCUGCUCUGGGCCACGCAGGACACGGACGUCAGCUUCUCCUGGAGCGCUCGCUCACUUUAUUCCAUCUCUACGAGCUCCUCAAGUAUCCCAGAGCAUCCCCAGGCCUGUGGCCACCUCGGGUCUGGAUGCCGCAUUCUCUGACCUGUGGCACAUUCUGGGUGCCCAUGAUUAUGAUGAGGUUCUGUGCCCAUGUGGCCUCAGGGCUCUUGAGACCACCCUUCAACCAGGUCUUUGCUCACCUGUCUCCUGCCCAGGGACGCCACCCAGGUCACCGGUGCAAACCUCCAGCCCCUGCCCGUUUCUCUCCAUGAGUGCAUUGCCACCUCGCAGCCUCUUCCACUUGCUCAUUCCUGGUGUUAUUGCCUGUCUCCCACUGGAAGAGAAGGCCCUCAAGUUCAGCAACUGUUUUGCCUGUUUUGUUCACUGUGGUGAACCCCGGGCCUAGAACCACGCCUGGCACUCCCAGUAGGUGCUCAAUAAGUAUCCAAUGAGUGGACAAAUGAAUGGAUGUGUUCAACAAAUGACCCUAGAGCGUGUAUUCCUUCCAGGGACAGAGCGAGGUACUGGGGACACAGGAAGGACGAGGCAGAGCUCCGCGCUGACGAAACCAAGGGCCAAGCGUGCGAGUGAAUACGAACAUCCUGGCGUUAAAACGUCUUGCAUUCUAGUGAAAUGAGACCCAUUGGACACAGAGAAGCCCCACCACAAUUGCAUCUGUGUAAAAUCGAGAGAAAGAUCGUGAAAACAGCCAUGGCAGGUGCUGGACUAAGGGGUGACAUUGGGUUUUCUCUUCCCACCUAUCCUUUAGGGUUGUUAAAACAGAAAUAGAUCUCACGUAGGCCCCUGCUCUGCACCCUGCUUGCUGAGUCACGCAGGGCCAGUUACGCAGCUACCGUGUGCUUACCCGGCCUCAUCUGUAAAAUAAGGAUGACACUGCCUGCCUGGCAGGGCUCUCCUGAGAAUACACAGUGCCUCGUGCAGGGCCCAGUGCAGCAGAGAGGUCACCUCCUCCAGGAAGACUUUCCUGACCUGGGCUUGGGGUUGGGCCUCCCCAGGGCUCCUAAGGCUUCCCCACAUACCCUUCACUUUGCAAUGAUCAUCCCCUGUUACUGUCCCACAACACACAUUACACACAACACCAUACAAACACAUGCAUUCUACACACACACAACAUACACAUGCACUACAUAUAACACACAUUAUACACAUUACAAACACAACACAUACCCCACACUUCACACUCAUAUACACACAUACACCACCCACAUACACUCCAAACACUCCGCACACAUACAAACACAUACUACAUACAACACACUCAUACCACACACAUGCACACACGGGUCUGGAGGGCGGUGCUGUGUGGGGCUCCGGGCGCAUCCCUGAUCCAUAGCAGAUACUGAAUAUUUGCUGAAGGAAUAUCCAGGAGACUCGUGCUACGUCUGGUGUUUGAAAGGAAAUGAACAGUUCUUGGUAAUGUCUUGUUUAGGGUGAAUAAUGGCACUGAAGACAGAAAAUGCAUCUUAUCACCUGCUCUGGAGCAAAACAUGUGUGCUUGGAUGCGUAGAGUUAUUCUGUGUAAAUUACCCACCAGAGAGAAUUCAGGCGUGUUUCAAAAUCUAUAAAACCGUGUGCUGGGGGACCAUGAAAAGUUGUAGAUGCACGUGGCCGUGAACCACUGUAACUCUCUGGGGGCCUGCGUGACCGUUUAAAAGGAAACAGACAUGGGCA
rnacentral:lncRNA from 1 species